CGCGAAUGGCUCAUUACACCAGCUAUAAUUUAUUUGAUCUGACAAACUUACAUGGAUAACUGAGGUAAUUCUUGAGCUAAUACAUGCACCAAAGCUUUGACCGCAAGGGAAGAGCGCAUUUGUUAGAACAAAACCAAACGGCUUCGGCUGUUCCCAGUUGAAUCAGAAUAACUCAGCUGAUCGUACGGUCUUGCACCGACGACGUGUCUUUCAAGUAUCUGCUUUAUCAACUUUCGAUGGUAGGGUAUCUGCCUACCACUGGUGGUGCCGGAUAACGGAGGAUCAGGGUCCGACUCCGGAGAAGGGGCCUGAGAAAUGGCCACUACGUCUAAGGAUGGCAGCAGGCGCGCAAAUUACCCACUCUCAGAAUUUGGAGGAGGUAGUGACGAGAAAUAACGAGGUUGAUCUCUUCUGAGGCGGACCAUCGGAAGGGGUACAAUUUAAACCCUUUAACGAGUAUCUAUGAGAGGGCAAGUCUGGUGCCAGCACGCCGCGGUAAUUCCAGCU
rnacentral:rRNA from 1 species